rnacentral:rRNA from 1 species
GACGUAGGAGGCGAGCGUUGUCCGGAUUCAUUGGGCGUAAAGAGCACGCAGGCGGUUUGGCAAGUCGGAUGUGAAAACCCGGAGCUCAACUCCGGACCUGCAUCCGAAACUGCCCGACUAGAGGUAGGUAGGGGAGAUCGGAAUUCCUGGUGUAGCGGUGAAAUGCGCAGAUAUCAGGAGGAACACCGGUGGCGAAGGCGGCUUCCUGGACCGACACUGACGCUGAGGCGCGAAAGCUAGGGGAGCAAACGGG